AGGGAUGCUGUGCUGCGGGCUGACGCACAUGGGAGUGACGCCCAUCGACGUGGUGAAGUGCAACAUGCAGAUCGCCCCGGAGAAGUACAAGUCGAUCUCGGGAGGGUUUUCGUUGAUCGUGAAGGAGCACGGGGUGGUGGGUCUGUUCCGAGGGUGGGUGCCUACGCUGCUUGGGUACAGUGUGCAGGGUGCUUGCAAGUACGGGUUCUACGAGUACUUUAAGAAGACAUACUCGGACAUGGCCGGGCCGGAGAACGCCAAGAAGUACAAGACGGUGAUCUACUUGGCAGGGUCUGCGUCCGCGGAGGUGAUUGCGGAUGUGGGGUUGUGCGCAUUCGAGGCCGUGAAGGUGAGAGUGCAGACGAACCCGGGAUUCGCGAAGGGACUGAGCGACGGGAUGCCGAAGCUGAUUGCGUCGGACGGUGUGAAGGGGCUGUUCAAGGGUUUGGUGCCAUUGUGGGGACGGCAGAUCCCGUACACGAUGAUGAAGUUCGCUACGUUCGAGAGCACGGUGGAGGCGAUCUACAAGUACGCGGUGCCAGUGCCGAAGAGCGAGGUGUCGUCGAGCUCACAGUUGGGUAUCUCGUUCACGGCGGGAUACAUUGCGGGAGUGGCUUGCGCCAUCAUUUCGCACCCGGCGGACAACUUGGUGUCGUUCCUGAACAAGUCGAAGGAUGCGACGGUGAAGCAGGCGAUUGACCAGAUGGGGUUGAAGGCGUUGUUCACCCGGGGGCUGCCAUUGCGUAUUAUCAUGAUCGGUACAUUGACGGGAGCACAGUGGGGUAUCUACGAUUCGUUCAAGGUGUUCGUGGGUCUGCCAACGACCGGUGGUGUGGUUGAGGAGCCUAAGAAGGAGUAGAGGGUUGAGUUGAAGUUUUUUUUUUUUUUUUUUUUUUUCUUUCUUUUCUUCUUCCUAUCUUGGGGGUAGCCAUGAGACAUUGAGGAGCCAUUUGUGCAAAUUCAGGCGGGACGUAUUGUUACCAUGUUACUUAGGGGAGGGGGUGGCUGAUUGGAAUGAAUUUGUUAGUGUAGGAGGACGUGUGGAAGUUACGGAGAUUUUAUCUUCUUUUGUUACACUCCUCGGGGAUAGCCUU
rnacentral:lncRNA from 1 species